UUGUGGCAGUGGCAUCCCAGCUCUAGCUGGCAUAGCCACAGCUGAUCCAAGCUGUGUUCUGCAAGGGAAGGAGUCAGGUUCAGACCUGCCAGAAGGCCCUGAGCACUAGACCCUUCUGUCCAGAGUGGGAUAUGUAAAGCUGCAUUUCCUCAAGACUGCUGCCAAAUGACUAAUCUUGGACACUUUCAGGCAUUCCAGCAUGUCUGGUUAGUGGUUACUCCAGCCAUCCUAUCAUGAUUUUUGGGAACCAAAUGUCUUGCACGCUGGAGCAAGGUACAUAUUAUACAAGGGGUUCCUAUAAUGGAUGCUGGUAGAGUUAGUGGCCAGUGCACAGUGGUUUACAUCAGAGAUAACCUCGUGAACAGGGAGCAUUGUGUGUAUGCUCAAAGUCAGACAUGCAGGGGAAUCAGAUCCCUUUCUUUAUAGUUUACUUAGGAGUCAUGGGCAGUGAGGGAUUUUUAAAUGCAGAUUGAAUGAAUUACUCCAUUAACUUCUGUUUUCCUUUCCAUGGAAGUGACGACUACCUGUUAUGGCCAGAUGUGAGCUAACAAGACAGUGCUCUGCAAUCAGCCACUGGUCAGACCAGAUCACACUAUUUACAGUAAAAGAGAGCUCAUGCUUUCUGCAAACAGAUCCCAAGCUCAGACACUAUUCUGUCACCUAACCUUGCUUGUUCGCACUUACUGAGGGACUCCCUAAAACUGGACUGGGGUGGUUCUUUUAUUGUAUGUUGAGAACUGUCUCAGGAUAUACUCCAGGGAAUAUUCAAGCUUCAUCUCAUGGGAGUUUCCUUUCUGUUUAAGGUGCAACAUUAUUUUUUUUUCCAAAACAUAAUUAUAUGUCCAGACCCUGAUUACGUCCUGUAUGUAUUUGAAUGCUUUCCUGCAGGCAGUACAUCUCCCAGAGGCUACUUCUGGUUCAUGUCAAUGAUCUUUGGGGUUUCACUGUACUUUUUACUUCAAUGAUAAAUUAUUGUGCUUUCCAAAGGUUAGUGCUCUGCAGAAGAGAUGUCCUGUCUAGAUAGUGUGGUUUCCUUUUAAUUGUCUUUUUGGAUCUAGCUUUGUUCUUUUACUGUGGGAUAAUGUGCCAAAGAUGGCACUGUGCAGUCUGCGUUGAUGAGUUGAACUGUGCUACAAAAUACUCCUUUUGAUCCUGCCUUUUUUCUGAACUCCACCAGCUCCUUUUUUUCUUUCCUUAUAUAGAAGCCCUUUGCCUUGUAUCUCCUGUUUGGAUCAGGGCUGGAUGGGUUGGAUCAGGUCACAGUACUUUCUUGUCUGACUGAGACAGGAUGGAUAUCCAAGAGGAUGAGUUGACCUCCAUCACAGCCAGUUAUGUGAGGAAGGAGCCAUGCACCAGUGAAAUUGGCUUCCCAGCCCCAGCUAAUACAUUGCAUUGUCUUGUCUUCAGAAGUAACAUUGAAUUUUCUUAUAAAUCUAUUCCAUUUUAUGGCUACAUGAACCUAUUGUAUGAAUCUUUGUUGAGAAUUACAGUAACCAGUUGUACCAGUGCAAGGAGCUAUUGUCAUGUCCUAACUUGUUCCUUAAAAUACCAGUAUUCUUCACUGAGGAGGCUUAAAAGCUCUUUAUCAGGGUCCAUUCACCCUGGCUAGCUCAUCCCAAUUUUAAACUCAUACAAAUCAACACUCAUGAAACACACUUCAAAGGAGGACUAAAUAGCUGCUUUAAGUGGGAAGAACUAGGGUCUAUGGGUGCCACCCAGCAGCUUCCUGCCUGGCUGGCUGGGCUGUGGAAGGGUUGGGGAUGUUCCCCCUGCAUUCCAUCUCCCAGGCAGUGCAGUGACCCAUCCCAGGUCUCUGGACAGCCUUGCUCAGCCUCCCUGACUCCCCUCUGCACCAGGAAAGGGAGGGAGUGCUCCAGCUGCAUCCGGCCCGCCCGCCUGCCCACGGGAGGCCCUUGAAGUACAGAACAAAAUAAAUUCCUUCAAUCCUAGCAAUUUUCCCCAAAGCAGACCAGCAGGCAGCAGGCCUGUGUUCUGUGGCUUGCAGUGGGCAUCUGUGAGUGUCCCAGGAUGCCUAUGCUUGAUGACUAUAUCCCAAAACCAUGUCUCUGGUGUUUUUCUGUGCCCACAAACAGCAUCUGAAAGACAUCACACAGAGAAUCAAAAUCAUCUCUAGUGGCUUCAGUGAAGCUGCUCCUGAUCCAAGAGCUCUUUGCCUGGGUACCAGCACUCAGGCACCCCAGGAGAUUUGGGUGCAGAGAUCACAGCAGCACACCUCUGGGCCUGCUCUCCAUCCCACCAGGAAUGCUGCUCUCCAAGGCCCCCUUGAACAGGAAUUGAACUGAUAUACAGAAAAUGCCAACAGUUCCAGGCUCUAACAAGAAUUUCAAAGUCUUUUAAACAAGCAGAGUUAGGAAAACAGAUGGAGAUAAAGAUUGUUUUCUUGUACAGCUGUGUAAAGGUUCUUUCUGGGUUCUGAGCUUCCUCAAAAGUGUCAGGUUAUUCCCCAAAUACAAGUCAGAUAUGAAUAAACCCACUGCAUGUGUCUUCACAGCCACCAACUCCUUUUUCUACAGUGCUUCCCCAUUAGUAAAGAAAGCUGGGAGACAUUCCUUUCUAGGAGCAAACCUGCUACACUAAAUGUCAUCUCACUUGACUGUUACUAGCAUUUUCCUGAUAAACUGAUCUUCAGAGAAAAGCACUCUUAUCAAAAAGCUGUUUUCUUUAAAACCUUUUAGAUGAUCAUUAGUCAGCUCAAGAUUUUUCACUGAUGCAGAUCAAGAUGAGCUAACUUCAGGAUAGGCAAAGUGUUGCUGCAGAAUCAUAGGCUAUGUUGUACUUGAAAAAUAGGGAAUUUUACUUGGCUAUACUAACUGUCUUAAAUAUAUGAUUUCCCAGAAACCACUGAAGCUUCAAAAGGUGGAGGCUUUGAUGAAAGAGUUCAGAUUACAGCCUUGCUUCUGGGCAAUGACAAAUACUUCCCAGGUCAUUAAGAGCAAAUCACUCAAUAUUUCCCCCCUAUCUAAGGAAUUAGAAUCAUAAAUCAACUAGUAUUUAUGAUGUGUUCCAGUAUGUCUGUGAUAGGGCCGUGUAACUUGAGAUAAAAGAAAGUUUAUUUUAUUUGUUAUUAAGAGAUAAAAGGAAGCAGCAUCUGUUCUAGAAUAAACCCAUGGUUUCUAUAAUCUUUUCCGAAGUUCUUUUCUCACUGAAGUGGUUAACAAAGCUUGGAUGUAAUGUAUUCUAACUUAAUGUGCCUAAUUUAGCCGAACACUUUAGAUUCUUUCAGUUAUAUGGCUCCGGUCUGUCUGUUUUUGUUUUACCUUUUUUUCCACUGCUCAGCUCCAUAAUUGUUCCUUUCAGCCUCAGUCACCUAAGGUCAGGCUGUACCUUGCUAAGGAGCCGAACUGCAAACAAGGCUAACUCAAUCACGUGUCUCCAGCCCAUUCCUGUUAUUAAUCCUCCCAAGUUCUGCCUAGCACUUGGCAGAGCAACUAAAGUAAACUUUUUAUCAGAAGUUGACAUUCUCCUCAAGUGGAGGAAGAGCUGGAUAAUUCCUGCCUUUAUUUUUAUGAAGAAUAUUGUAGUGUGGGAGCUACCUCAGGUUUAUUUCAAUAAUGCAGGGGGCACAAAUGUAUUGAAAAAAAGCAUUGUUUGUGCAAUGUGAAUUUAGUCUGAUAAAAUUCUGUUUCUCUUCCCAAAAUGUCUUUUAGAGGGCUUUCAACAGUAAAUAUGCUGUCAUUGUAACAAAUAUGAUGCUGGCUUUAAACUGAUGAGAAAAUGGCCAAAGUACGUGCAGUUUAUACUCUGAGAGGAAGCUGGUCUGGGGAUUUAGGUUAUGUCUGAAAUCUACAGCACUGCAAAGAAUUUUUAUUUCUGCUUCAGUUUGUGUAGAAAAGUCCUGCUUAAUUUACUUUCUCUUAUUCAUAUAAUUUUCUCAGCCUUUCUCAGCUCUGCUUCCAUUCUUUGUCUGUCCCAUUGCAAGGGAGCAGACACUGUAGAUUCAGAAAAUCCAAUUGGAAAGGAGAGCAAGGUUGAUAUAUUUUGUUCCCAGUGCCUCUGGGAAGCCCAGUGCUGCCAGUGCCUUGUAAAUACAAAGAUCUAACUCAAAAUAGUAUGCUGGGAUAAAGGUGGGCUCAAUCUGCCCUAAUUAGGGCAGCUCCAAUAGCAGCACCAGGUAAAUGCCUCAGAUGGGAAAAUAGAGCUGUAAUUCUUGUAAUGUAAAUCUGUUGAUAUUAUCAAAAGGGUCCUAUAUUAAAAUAACAAAAAUGUGUCAUGUGAGAAAAAAAAAAAAAAAGUAUGAUGAGAACUGCCAGGAGAAAAGCCUGAGUAUUUAUAUAUUCUUGAUAUAGUGCAGAGGGCUGCAGUGGGGUGAUGCCAUUAUGCUGCUGUCAGGACGAGCUCCUCACACCACUGCUGCCCACCCUGCCCAGGAUGCUGCAACAACCCAGGCACUUUCACAGGGUCCUUUGUAUCCCAGAGCCAUCUUUUGGUGAUAGUUUCAUUUCUCUCUUCCACAUGUUAAGAAGCAGCCAACACAGCCAGCAAACAAAUAAGUGUUUUACAAAGUGCUUCCAAUCUUAUUUAAACCCGUGUGUCAGUGAUUUCCCUGCGUGUGUGUGGCUUUGCAGGCAGUUCAUACAGUGAUGAAAAUCCCUUAACUAAGGCUAAUGCCCUUUUCCAUUCUUAGAUGUUCAACAACCUGAGCUGACAGUCAGGAGAGUUUGUAUUUUUCUGGUUUGUUUUCUAAAACAUCACCUACAUGAAAGAAGUUGAAGUGUGUACACCUGCAGUUUCUCUCCAAGCGAAGUGCUUCCAAAACAGCCCUCGUAUUCUACCUGUUUUCUGUUAUUUAGCUUAUAAUUUUAAUAAAAACAUGAACAGAAAUGCUAUGAGGGAUGGAAUUUGCUAUAUUGGUAUUUACUUCUUUGAUUGGUUUUUCUUUUUGAUCAUCUGUUACACCAUCAGUGAAAUACCUUGCAGCUGGACCCAGAAUUUCAGCUGUGAGUCUGGGCUUCUGCCUAGACACUAAAUUAAUUGCAGGUCUGUUCUGUCUCUCCUCUUUCUCUGCAGGUAGAUACCUGAAGGGUGCCUUGCUUAGUUAGUGGCAGGUGUAAGUCCAGGAUGACUGCUGCUAUUCUGGGGGAAAACCUGGAAGAGUAAGCAUUUCCUGAUGUCCCUCUCCCAGAACUUGCUAGAAAUUCCCCCUGGGUGGCAGUGAGCCAGCAUGGCAGCCCCAGCAAAGUCUUCCCACCUGUAUGUGAGUCAGGGCACUGAGUGAAAACUGGUCAAGUCAGAUGGCAACUCUGGGUGCAGGAUGUGGGGAAUAACCCUCAUGAUGCCCAGAACUGAUCCUCUGGAGAACCAGGCACAGCUGAGCUGCAGAGUUCCACACAGCUGCCAUUGCUGCCUGUCCCUGUGCAUCACCAGUCUGUGCAGUCUGCACCAGGUGUUUAUACCAGCUGAGCAAGAGGGAAGCAGUCUGCAUGGGGUCUGAAGAGAUGCCACUUUUAUGGUGUGGUCCUGACCUUCUCAAAUGACUCUGACACUUGCCCAAUGAACUUCCAAGAGUGCAAGGAGAUGAAUAAAUCUUCAAUUGCAUUGUCCAGAUUGGCAUACUUGUUGUGGUAGUGAAUUUAAGAGUGAUUAUUUUGACUUGGCUACAUUGAUUCAUUGUAAAGGUAACGUGUGCAAUGGUUUGCUCUGAAACUCCCCAAAAGCAGAAGUGUAAACCAGAUGAGGGCUGUGGGGAAAGGUGUGCUUGGCACUUGGAACACUUGAGAGAUAAGGGUUGCUCCUUGUUACCUGCAGCCACCUGGGUGAGAGGCUUCAUGUGGAGGGAUAGGGCAGGGGAGCUGUGCCUGGAGAUGUAUCAGGGAGACAGAGAUGGCACUGCUUAUUUCAGGUGAGCACAGAUUAAAAUGCCUCUUGAUGGAGCACUAGGAACCCACCCACUUGGGCACAGUAAGUGCAGACCCAGGAGAUCCUGCCAAGGCAGAUCCAAACCAUGAGAUAAGCCCCCUCAAUUCAUCAGAUCAUUCCCCACCCCAUCUGUUUGGAAGUCACUCACUAAUUUAAAAGAUGUGUUUUAAAAGUACUUUUCAACUCUGUUCCCAAAACAUUUUGGAGACUUUUUUUUUUUUUCUUAGUGCUUGCUAUUGUGCUUGUGUUACAGAGCCUGUCAACCCCUGCAGCACCCAGCUGUGCUGGCUGUAACCAUAAUUCACACAAACUGCCAAGUGCUGUUCUGCUUAAUAUGACAGAUCCUUCCGUGAUAGCUGUGCUCCAGCCAGCCCUGGUGAAUGUGUUGGGAAGGAUGGUGCCCAUGUGAAUAAGAUUUAUGUUUGUUAGGGCUGUGGUGAGUGAGCCUGCAAGCGCUGCCUUCCCCUUUUCAAAAACUCAGAAGAUUUAUCUCCCUGACACAUCCUGAGUCUGUUUCUCUCUCUUUUUUUAAAUAGCUAUCCCCAGAAAACUUCCAUGGCUUGGUUUUUCUGCCUGCCCUCUCCCUUGGGUGUGGUUUCUCCUUAUCUCUCCCCCAAGCUGUCAUCUCCUCUUGCAAUUCUUGUGGUGUUGCUCUUCCUGCUGCUCAGCUGGAUGCGCAGACAGCUGUAAAAUGGAGUUUACAAGAACCAUGAUACAUGGGUGCUGUGCCAUGGCACCACAGAGAUUCUUGCAACUGUCUGCAUGCUGAGCUGCAUGUUGGCAAGAGACAAGCACUGCAACUUCCCUGGUGGGAGCUUACAGAAAUGAAAAUACAGUUGGAAAGAGUAGUGUUGGAUAAAUGCUCUGCCACUGCUGGACAGUCAAAGCCUGAUUGCAAUGAAAGAAUGAAUUUCCUGAGAAAAGGGAUAUAUUCAAUUGCUCAACCAUCUCUGGGUUAACCUGUUGGUGGUAGGGUAUGAUCCUCUUUGUCAAUUAAGGGUACAGCUUCUUGCAUAUGCUUGCGUAUGUGCUCCACAGAUAGACUUAACAUCAGGGAAGGACUGUACACAGUAUGACUGAGUGUAUUUAAAGAUAUUGUUUUGACCCAAAGUAAGGAAAUGUACUUGAGAACACAGCUAAGAGUUGUUAAGUAUUCAAAUGAGGUCCAGUUCUCUGUGUUAUAUUCGGACAAGUUUGUAGGAUAAAUUCUUCAGUUGUUUCAGUGAUCUAAGAACAUAAAUCUCUCAGCCAGGACAUGGGAUUUUUUGCUAUUGUGAAUAUAUAAUAAAUCACUGCUCAGUAUGACCAUGGAUGAUGUAUUUGUUCCUUAAGUAAUAAAUUCAGCAACCAUGAAAGCCAUCUGUUUUGCAGGUGUACAGGCUAGUCUUCAUGAGUAAUUUUUGAGAGUUUUUCAGCUUCUGAAAGCUGCUGCCAUACAGCAGGAAUGAGUUUCUAGCUCCAUAUUUUGUUGUUCUCUUGACCAUUCUUACUGUGUCUGCCUUUGGGAAGGGUUAAGGAUGCUGGCCCAGGAAGGCAGACUGCUGGCCACUAGUACUGCUGGUUAACCAGGAGUAAACAAGAAAGUGGCUGCUGGGCAGGAGACAGUGGGAUCCUGGGGGAGACUCAGGGGCAAGGAGUCUGUGGAUUUGAGAGCUUAUUUUGAGUGAGUAUUCCCUCAUUAGCCUGAACUGAUCUUUUAGUUGCUGGGGUAGACAAUAAAGACUAAGCUUGUCCUUCUAAGCUCUGAUAACCAAAGAAAACUGACUUACUAAUAGAGGACACAAGCUGCUUAUUUCUUUUACUGAUGCUUCUUUUAUUUGUUUUCUCUUAUUGGAUCCAGGAAGGCCACAAUGUAAUAUAGGAGGUUGUGGCAUUGGGAACCAGUUCAGGAGUCUGAAGGGUCCUGGGGCUGUGAUCACUUUUGGGCUGAGCCUGACUGAGGCUGACUAGCUAAGAAAAAGAUCCAAUACUCUUAGGAAGCAGAGGGACAACAGACACUUGCAGGGUGUAAGAACUGGGUAUACCACUCCUAAUCGGUCCACCUAAAAGGACCAAUUGUCAUCCUUGGUUUAAUAAAUCACAAACUGAAAAGCUUGCAUGCUAAAUACAUGUAAGUUGGCUUAAAAAUGCUUAGGAAGAGAGAAGGGAAAAUUCUUCAAGAGGGGAACAGCUAAUUCUCUAUGGUCACAGUUGGCUGCACAGCACUGGGUAUCCAGACAGAUAAUACUGCUUGUCAAGCACAGGGUAAUUACAGGGGAGUGGGUGGGGACUACAGUGCUUUGUUCCUCCCUUCCCCACAAAUUUUUGGUCAGCUCAAGGCGAGGCCACGCAGUAGGAGCUGUUGGAGGCUGCUUUGGGUCCCCCCCUGCUGCUCCUCCUUCCCACUGGGCUCUGUGGCUGGCACAGCUGGAGCAGCUGUGGGUGACAGAGUGCAGCCUCCUGCAUCCUGUAGGUGCUGCACUCCCUGGGCUGUGUGGGGCUCCCAGGCUCAAGCACUGGAAUGACACGGCUUAGGGCUGAGCAUUAGACCCUGGGGAAGGCAGGACUGGGAGGGAGAGCAGCAGCAUCUGAAGGGCUGUGCUCAGUGGCAGAGAUCUGCUCACCUUCACUCUGCAUCUGCUGUGAAAGCAGGUGCUGCUCCUGGGCAAUCUGGGGAGAGUGUACCAAAAACAAAGUAGAGAAAAUAUAAUGCUGAGGGAAACUGGAGAAGCAUUGGACAGAUGGACAGCAAAGAAGGUAGUCGAAGUGGAAAGAAGGUACAGUGGAGAAGGGGGUACCUUUUUCUCCUAGAAACACUGUGUCUAUCCUGCUGAUCACUGAGCAGUGCUGAGAGUGAUGUGUAAACUACAGCUGCAAAAGAUGUACUGACUCCAGUCACAAUGAUGAGGCUGUACAUCCAUGAAGUAUCUGAGCUUUAGACUUGAAUGUCUUUAGAGCUAGAGUUGAAAAAGUUGCUGACUUAGACUGUCUUGAAGGCUCUGAUUUCCAAGUGGUACAGACAACUGUGUUCUGCAACUGCAAUUACACAACAGCAGCAGCUGGACAGCCUGCCAGGACAUCAGGACGGCCUGCUCUCAGCUGCUCUGGGGCUUUUCAGGACAUCAGGAAAGUGGUGCAGAAAACAAACUCACUGUACUUCUGUACAUUCCAGGAUCUGGAGAGGAGCUGUCUCAGGACAAAUUUUACUCUUGUGUCACCUGAAAACACCCUGUUCCAGGAUACCUGAUGCUUAUACACAAACAAGCAGAUGUACCCUUGUGCGGUGUAAUGCUGAUACUCACCUGUGCCUAAGGCAGCAUAUGGUCCUUAUUUCCUCUUCUAGAAUAUCUUGGGGUGGAGAGAUGUACUCUGUCACAGCCUGCACAUGUCAGUAGUUAUUGCUGCAGAGUCCAUUCAGCUGGUACAUUUUCCACAGUUCCUCCUCUUUCUCCCUACUGCCUCCUCACUGGCUUAGAGACCAACAGGAUUGCCUAACUUCUUACAAGGCCAAAGGACACAAUUGGAACAUACAGCUGACUUGGGGGGAGAAGCAAUUAAAACCACAUCAAGUAAUCUGUUACCAAGACUGCUGCCUGUGCUCACAGGACUGCAGUCAUGCUUCCUCUGCCUUUGCUGGACAGACAUUUUCCAAAGGACACUGAUAUUUGUUCACCCAAAUGUUAUUCCAUCACACCUUCUGCACAAUUCUGCCUGCCUGUGCCUCGGAUACUGAAGUGUUGUCAGAACUGGAUUUUGGCAACAAAUUUUUGCUCUGGGCCUUUGCAUGCAUUUUUGUGUAACUGGACAGGCAUGGAGUGUCCCAGUGCUCAUGCAUGAACUCUUAGAAUGUGCAGUGGGAAUUGGUCUGUGUGAAAUGGAUGGACAUUGCUGAUCCAUCAAGGGAAGUGGGUUUGCUUAUGGAUGCUUGGGGGGAGAUAGCAGAUAUGGGGAAUAGUGGGAAAUAUCUGGGGGGCAGUGUGUUGUUCAGUCUUUUGUCAAAACCAUGCAGGAUCCAAUGUAAUUUCUCUGUGAGAAGGAUGAGAAUGUGGCUGAAUAGUGUCUUUUCAAAUCUUUUAAAUUUUGACACUUAUGUAUUUGUACUCUAAAUACUUUGAUCUUCCCCAGCACCCACUUGUCUGCAGAUGAAGCUGAUAAUCAUUCCAAGCUCUUUCCUAGCAUUCUUUCUUACUCUGCAGUCCUGAAUAAAAUUCAACCUUUUUCUCCAUAAAUAACCUUUCUCAUCCCCCCAGCUGUCUCCUAGAACUAGUUUUCUUCUGACCUCUCCCUUACUGACUCUGUACUGACCUUGCACUUCCCCCACAGCCCUAAUCUGUUAGUGUCUACACUCCUAGGCUUCCUCUGCUAUUUUGCAUGCUUUUUUUUUUUAAUAAUAGGGCCCACCGUUUCCUGAGCUGUGCUUCAGCAGUAAGGGUGAACAAGGCCCUUUAUCCACACACUUCAUACACUGCAGUGACAAAUUAAUACCACUGAUGCUGGAGCUUAUUGAUAAAAGUCAUGUCCCUGAUACUUGGUUUCCACCAUGUUCCUAAAUCUAAAGUUUGGUUGGACCUUCUCUAAACUGCUGUUGCCUCUGAGCUGUUCCUCAGCCAGUGAAAACAGGCAGGACCUUGGAGAAGCACCUCUGUGAGUCAUUGAGAAUAAAGGUAGCAGAAGCUAUAAAUGACAUAGUGAAAAAUAUGAAAGGCACGUGAAGAUGCCAUCGGGUUGUGUGUGGUCUGUGGAAGAGUACGGUGCUGUGUGUCUGCUGUUGAACCUGGGCUGCACUUGAGCUGGUACUUCUGGAACAGGAAUUGUCUAUGGCAGUAACUUGUCUUACCCUGGGCAUGGUGUCUGAAGGGCUUUAAAUAGAAUGUGUUCUCUCGUAAGGUACGCACAGACGUCCAGUCUCCCGGCACACCUAUAGGAUAAGGAAGCAUAGUUACUUUCAUUUGAUAUAGAAACAGAAAAGGUUAAUGUUACAUACAUAUUCCAGGAAAAGUCUGCCUGCAGUUGAUUUCCCAAGCCCCGGGGCCUGGCUCCACCCAUAGCACCAUCUUCCCUUUUCACAGGCUUUGCUUUCAAAAAUAUUUUCAAAGAAAUUGGCAUGGGCAGAGUCGAAAAGGAAAAGGAUGGGAAGCAACAACCGAGUCCGUUGUCCGGUUUCUGAAGAAGGGCACCAGGGGUCUCACGGAGCAGCCGCUCGCUGUCUCCCCGCGGCGUCGUGCCGGGGUUACCCCGAGCCCUGAGCGGGCUGCGGUGCGGAGCGGGCGGCGGUGCGGUGCGAGCCCCGCAGGCUCGGCUGCGAGCCCCGCAGGCUCGGGCGGGGCUGGCGCG